CUCCAUGUCGGAAUUUCUACUUCUUUCCCCUCCCAAACUCCCCCCUCGAGACCUCGUCCCCUCUUCUCCCGAGCCCCCUGGAAAGCACGCCAUGGCAGCUUCAUGCCCGUUGCUUCUCUCUUCUCCAAAUCUCCUGGGAGCAUCUCGGUCCCUCGCUAUGAAGAGAAGGCAAUGGAAGCUCAGCCAUGUCUCCAAUUGGCCGUAGCAAGGCAAUUGGCGGUCCUAUUUCCUCAGAAAGGUGGGAUCUUGCAUCCAUUUUUCUGUUCCUCCUCUUACGCUGGUCACUGUCUGACACCCUCUUCCGUACAAGUGAUGCAUUUCUUGUUCUUUUUCUUUGUCUGGUGCUUGAAUUGAUCGGUCAGCUAAAGAUUAGAUUUUUGCUUAUAAUUUACUACUAGGAUUGUGUAGCUGGUGCCAAAGAUAGGAGGCUUGUACCCCAUUUUAGGUUAAGAAUUGUUUGUGUUGUUGGAUUGGGCUGUCAUAAAUUGGGGAUGAUAAUGGAUGUUUGUAGAUGUGAUGUUCCUGUGAAAAUUGCUUUCUGAUAUUGUUUCUUGUUGUUAUAAGGCUGGUAUGGACUAAUUAUGUGAAGAUGUGUAUUUGGGUUUGUUAGGGUAGGAAUGUAAUGUUUACUUCUACGAAACGUGUUCUUGUUGUCAAGCGAUGCAUAUGCAUGCAUUAUGCAUGGAAUUGUUGAAAAUUAAGAAGUUAACCUUUUUUGCUUCUCAACAAUCUUUUUUUUUUCUUUUUAAUUGGUGUCCUUGAAACGGUUCUCGUUGCAAUUGCUUGAUUGGUCUAAUAUUCACAUAAGGCAUUGUUCUAUCAUAAUCUAUAGAUGAGCUCAAGGAAUUUACUGGUUAUCAUUGUGUUUCUUAAAUAAAUCUAACCAUUUUCCAAGAGAUGCUAUGGACAUUAUAAUUACAAUUUUUGAUUUUGAUUUUUUUAAUUUGUUUAUGUAAUUGCAUAUUUUGCCUCACGAUAAACUGAAUUGCUUGGACAAUAAAUUGGGUCGUUAAUUGUAGGACAUGAACAAAUAAGUAUUUAAGUAUUUUCCUUUUGACUUCUUGUGAAUUCUGUGAUUCAAUUAACAACAUUGUGCGGCUAUCCUGCCAUCACUUUGUUUUUUUUAUUUUUUUUAAAGGAGACUAUGGUGCAUAAGCACGAUAGUCAUCAAAUUUAUUAAUGAGCAAGAGAGUAAAAAGAGGUACAGAAGAUAAGGAGAAACCCUAGUACAGAAGAGAAAAGAAAAUUUCCAACAACGAAUAGAAUUCAAAUUUAAAAUUUGAAUUUCAAAAAGAGAGAAACACCCAUCAAACUAACAACCCUGAAAUUUAAAUUUGAAAUUUGAAUUUCAAAAAGAGAGAGACGUCCAUCAUGCUCAGAGGAGAUUAUUGAAUCAAUUAUCCCAAGAGAGGAAGGGGGACCGCAUCGACACCUCCUCCACCAAAAUUGCCAUGAAUGGCCGUUCCACCGAUGCCUCGACGAAGCUAGUAGGUAGGAGUGACUUUUGGUGGAAGGUUGGCAGAUGAGAAGGGUUGACGAAUGCUCCAAUCUCGAUACCGAAAGAGAGGAAAAGCAGAUCAAUGCCAAGAGAAGGACCGGCCAAAGAGAGAGAGGAAAGGAAGGGAGUCCGACAGUAGGAUUAAAAGAGAAAGGGAAGAGAGACAGAGGAGCAAUGGAGAGAAAGAGAAAGAAGGGGGAGAAAACAAGGGGGCCCUACCAGUGGAUGGAGAGGCCGGCGAUGUCCCCCGAGAGUCCGAAGAGGAAAAGGAAAGACAGUUGUAGUUACUGGCGAGAAAAGACUGGCGACGCCCCUUAAACACUCGAGAGCAAAGAGAGCAAAGGGAGAGGCUCAUCGCGGGGUGGGGGGGGACGCCGGUGAACACAGUGCCGGUAGAGGAGAGAGAGGGAUUAGGGAAGAGUGCGACUCUUAGUCGGAAUCGCAGGCGGAACAGAGAGAGAAGAAGUACAGAAGAAAGGGGGAGAAAGAGAGGAGACAGGAAAGAGAGAGGGGGUUUUGGCGGCAUGGUGAUGCCGGCCAACCGAGGAGGGCCGGAGACAUCAGAGAAGAUCUCCACCGAGGGGAGCCGAGGAGGGCCGGCAACACCCCUCGAAAGAAUUGGCAGGGGGUGAGGGACUUUUCGGUGGGGAGAAUAAGGAGCCGAAAAAUCUCAAUAUUGAGGGGGGCGGAGAAACGGCGGCAAGGUGAUGCCGGCCAGCUGUCGGAGAAAGAUCAUCACCAAGGGAGACCUAGGAAAGUUGGUGAUGUCCCAUGAAAAAAGACUGGCAGGAUGACAGGUUAAAAGGGGGAUGAAGAGAGGGGAGAGAGGAAGAGAGGGAGAGAGAGAGAGCCUGGCGGCUAGCCGUCGGAAGAAGGAAACGUCGAAGGAGGCCUCGGAGCUCGAAGAGAAAGAGAGGAAAAAAAAACUCAGAGCUCCUCUUCUUUGGCCAGAGAAAGGGGGAAAAGGGUACAACCGGCGACGCCCCGCAAAAGUUCGAAGAGGAAGGGAGAAGAUUCUCGAGGAUUCCGGCAAGAAAAGAUAGGCGACGCUCCACGGAAGUCUGGCAGCAAUAGAGAGAAGGGGAGGGGCUCAUCGCACGGGGGUUUCGAGAAUAGCCGACUCUCCACUGGAGAGGUCCUUGACAACUCAAGGGAAUAGUCGGAGGGGAAAGAAAGAGAGGACCGGGGGAAGAGCAAGGUGAGAGAGACAGAGAGGGGAGAGAGGAAGAGAGAGGAAGAGAGCAGGAGAAGACAGAGGGGAGAGAGGGAGAGAGGGAGAGAGAAAGAAGGAGAAGAGAGAUGGGCCCGUCAGAGGAAGUCUCGGUGCUGGAAGAGAGGGGGAGGAAAGUAUUCUCAAAGCUUCUCUCUAUAGAAAUGAUUAGAGAGAGAAGUCUUACAUCUAUUUCUGCCAUCACUUUGUUGAAACUGCAACAUUUGCACAUCUAGCAAUCAUGAUAUGUGACCUCUCACUUCAGGGUGAAGAUGCAACAUUUGGCUUUCCAGCUUGUGUUGGGACAUUGUUUUGCAUCCAAGCCCUAGGAAGGACAAUUUUGCAGAUUCACUUGGGGUAACAAUGUGCUGCCUAGUUGCUAACAACUUUUUUUCAUGACUUUGAGGAGAUAUCAGAUACUUGGCAAUGAUGCAGUCGAUAUUUUCAUUAUUGAUGCUAAUUAAAUAUCCAUUUAUGGGAAAGUUCACAAUUUUAGAUAUUCUUUUUCUUUGCAAUGCUUGGGUCUUUUUGCAGACAUUUUAUUUCAGUAAAUAUUUCAUUUCAUUUUUGAUCCUAACAUAUAUUUAUAAUGGAGAGGUUCACUUUGAAUUAAUGCCUUUAUGGCAAUGAUUUACCUAUUGAUUUGUACUGCACCAUGCCACAUAAUAAAUAGCAUGCCACAAUAAAUAGCAUGUCUUGUGUGUUGGCCUGUGUUGCAUUGUAUUACAAAUUCACAAUGAGAUGCUAUGGUCCAAACUCCAGACUGGAAUAGCUUGGUACCUUACUAGGCUAAAAUGACUUAGCUUAUAUCCAUCAGUAAUUCUAGCACCAGCUAGAAUGCCUUGUUAGACUGGAGCUGGAACAGUUCGGUAUCGGUAUUUAUUGUGACCAUAAUCCAGCCAAUUCUAGCACCACCAGCUUAUGCAACAAUACAGUCUGCUGCCUAGACAAGUGGAAGACUCAUUAGAACUUGGUUGUUAAGCAGUGCAUGGACUGGUUUUUUUGCUGGUUGCCUGCACAUGCUAUCAGGCCCUGACCAUCUCGCUGUGUUGGCUCCCUUAUCCAUUGGUUGAUAAAGGAUGGAGAGUGCUAUGGUAGGGACAGCUGUGGCCAUGAUGGCAACCAAAUAAUAUUUGGUUUGCUAUUUCUUAUACGCAAGGAUCAUCUAUGCAUUGAGGUCAUCAAAACAUGGAGGACUAGAGUUGUGGAUUUAACUCUGCUUGUAUUGGAGCUGCUUAAAUUAGGGAGGCUUCAGAGGUGCCCCACCCAUGCAUUGCUCUAGAUUAUGGUAGCGGGGGAGGGGGUGGGGGGCAGCAUACAAUGUUAGUCUCAUUGAACCCUUAGAUGCUGGUAAUGGUGGGAGGAAACUUUUGGGCUUGCAACUUUUGCCACUGGCAUUGUAGGCAGUUGCACUCAUGAUGGUCUUUUCUUGCCAGCACUUCUUCUUCCUUCUUGCCUGGCUGGUGCUGCUUUUUCAGGUAUGUUUCUUGUUGGAACUGUGUUUGCAAUUAGGUGUUACACAGUUUUUAUUGGUUUGUAUACUUAGUUGUUGAAAGAAAGGGUUCCUAGGAUACCAAAGAAACUGAUAUGGGUUGCUUUUCUUGGAGCCAUAUCCAUGGGACUUGCCAUUCUCAUUAGCCAUUUCUUUGGUUUUAGCUUGUAUUGAUCUUACCUUUGAUUUGCCAUUUAUUAGCUUCCUUGAAGCUUUACACAAUGUUAUCUUGGAGCUUGGGAUCUUUGUAAUACAAAAACUUUUCCGGUUUCAUUUUUUUAAUUAAUUGAGUAUUCGUCUUAGUUGAUCAUAGCAACCAUGGUCAAGAGAUUCGAGUUUUCUAUAGGAAAAGGUUGCUUUUUUUUUCAUCUAUUUAUUAAUUUCGUAGAUGCAUGUUGAAUAUACUGGUUGUGGAAGAAAUGCGUACCUUUAUUUCAUAUUCAUAAAAAUUGCCACAUCUGCUUGUUGCUGCAGAGUUGUUUGUCAUGGCUAACUGUGGCAUUAAUUAUCAAAAAAAAAAAAAGUUUAGUCAUCUGUAUUAUGACGCAUACUUGAGUAAAAUAGAGAAAAUGUUUACUUUCAGACAAUUUCUUUGAUCUGACUCUUCUUAUGUCUGAAUAUGGAGCUGAAAUAUGUGGCAUCUAAAUCCUAGCAUUAUGUUGUGAAAUGCUAAGCAUCAAAUAUAACUUUUAUGCAAGAAUCUCAACUUUCAUUCCUUAAAACUCUUUAGAUUCAUAAGUUUAUAGUAGGCAGUGCCAUUGGUAGGAUGAUGCAUAAAAAAUUAUCAGAGAUUUGGUGUUUGAAGGAAUGAUGGCUACUUCACAGCCUCUUAGUCUGCACCUAUGGUGCAGAGCCUGCAUUUGAGAUAGUAGGCCCAGCAUUUGGGGUGAUACUAUGGGGUUUUGGGAAACCACAUGUUGAUAUGAUUAACUGCUAGUAUCCAAAUGAACACACUGCAUCCAAUGCAAAUUAGAUCAAAUUAUCUAUCAUCUUAAGUCAUGAAAUCUUCUCCCUGAAAAGCACUAGUAUCGUUGUUGUAUUCAGGCCCCAAGUUGAUUAAUCUGAGUGGUCUAGAUUCUUUGUGGGUUAAACCUAUCAUGGCCACCCCAACUCUGGAGACUCAAGGUAAAAAACAAUAUGAUGUGCCAAUCCUUAUAUGUCUUUGGUGAAACGAAGUGCACAUGUCAAAGCAACGGCAGAAGCAGCAAGAGAUCAGGGAUCAUGUUCUACCAUUGAAAUAUUUUGAGCAAUAGAAGGUGGGGAUGGCUCACUUAGCUGGAAGCAUCCUCUGAUAGCAAGCUGGUCGUUGACUACCUUAUCAAGGAAGAACUCAGGGUGCUAGGUAGAAAGUAUGGCCUAACUCAGGGUGCUAGGUAGAAAGUGUGGCCUAUUAAUCUCUUAGGAAUUGCUGAAGAUAUACUUAUGAAGCUAUGUGGAAUGGAAGAGGGAAAAAGACUUGAUUUACAUCUUGGAAAGCAAAGCAACCAUGCAUUUGCUGGAUCUUGCGAAGCCUUCAGCUUAAGUUUAUUUCAAGGCUUUGAAUAUCAGAGUUUAUUAGUUGUCUGAUAGUCUUCUAUGAGUGGUCCCUUUUAGGUUUUUGUUAUCUUUUGUGUUGGUUGGCUUCUGGUCUGUAAGAGUGGUAGGUGGGGCUUGUGUUGGUGUUAAAGGAGGACUUCAUAGGUCAUCUUGGAGGUUAGUUGAGUCAGGUACUAUGUUUUGUUAAAAUUGUCAGUGUUCUUUGCUUGUAGAGGGUGGAGGUUGCAUUUUGUUCCACUAAGGGUGUCUUUAUGUAUUAGGUGCCAUCGCUGUUUAGUGGGUCUGUCUGGGAGUGGAAGUUUGAAACUUGAAGUGUUUUGGGACUUCCAAGGAGAGAAGCGUGAGAUGGUUUGAGAGCAGAACCGAUCCUGUUGAUCUUUUUGUCAAUUACAAUAGGAGUUAUUGUCACUUAUUGGAAGGAGGAAGCACCAGUGAUGAAGGAGACUAAAGGGAUGUUCUUGAUCUUGAUGGAAUUGAGAGACAACCGAUCAAGUCUUCAAGCUUGACUUUGUUUACCACUAACCUAGCUUUGGGAGAUGUUAUUAGCAGUUAAAAGAAGCUUUCAAAGUCCUUAGCUCCUCACUUUUAUUUUUUAGUUGUGGCAUUUUCAGAAUUAUGGGUCUUGGUUACUAGUUUGUUUUGGGCAUGUGGUUUCUCUUCUAUUUUUGGCCGCUGUUUGCUUUCCCUAUCCUUUGGCUGGGGCCUUGUUCUUUCCUUUUCACCACCUUAAUGCAAAAAGGCCAAAUCUCGUGCCUAACUUUUCCUCAAAAAGAUAAUUGCCAUAUUGUAAAUCCUUGUGCCAGCUGUUCUCCAAAUUUGUAAGUCCUUUUUUGACAAAAAUUCCUAUUAUAUGUAUGUUUAGAUAUUACUUCAAGUUUUCCUAGAUCCUUCUUCAUGACUUUCAUCCAUCACUGGCUUAUGUUUUUCCUUGCUCUUUUGAGCCCUUAUGACACACAUUUAAAGGUCCUCUCCUAAAUGGGUGCUUUCUUAGAUUUUCAUUGCUUAUGCUUGAAUUAUUUCAAUCAUUUUUUAUCACUUUGUUUUUAAUAGGUAUUGUCACAAUGUUUCCUUAAAUAUGCUUGUCACUUAUCAUUCUUACCUUUCACAAAGUUUACUUCAACACCCUCAUUUCUUCAUGCCCGUUUUCUUAUAUAUCAUUGUAACUAUGCCUCCCCAGAUAGCUGGGGUUUAGUCCUAGCAGUUGGUACCUUUCCAUUGUUUAGACAAGGUCGUGGUUUCAGAUCCUUUGAGUUACUCUAGAAUUUUUGGGUCAUUGAAGGUGGAGUUCUGAUUUCUCUGACAAUGAUGUGCAUAAAGUGGAGUCUAGUGGAAAUGUUUAGGUUGAUCCUACUACUAGUUGUUAUAGAGCCUUCUGUUCAGGGCAGGCUUGGAGUUAUGGUGCGAAGGUCAAGACGUUUCUGACCAUCUUACAUCCUCCAUUGAUCAAAUCCCUAUUGCUAGUCGAGACCAGUGGGAAAGCGUCGAUGCUCAGAUUCUUGAUUUGAUUUGGCAGACCAUUGAUUCUGGCCUAUUUUUUAUCUUCAGACUGAUCCGUACAUGUUAUGGUAUUUGGAUCUGCGCUCGAGAAUUGGACUGAAGCAAUUUUACACACUUGUAUGAUGUGAUUGGCUCUCUUUUUCAUCUCUGACAGAGAUUCUGAUAUGCAGUCUUAUCUGGGGUGCUAUCAGUCACUUGCCACUGAGUUACAUGAGCUAUUAUCAUUUUCUCCUAAUUUUCGGGUCUAGCAGGUUUAGUGAGAUCGUCUGAUUACUGUCUUAUGUUUUCAUGGGAUUCGUUCGGAGUUAGAGGGUGUUUGCAUCCAGAUCCUUAGUUCAAAUCCUAUACCCUCUUCUGUAAAUGUUUACUCGAGACAUCCACAGGGAUAAACCAUCUUGAUGCAGCUUUAUCCUCCGACCCCACUUUGUCCACUUAGUCCUCAGGAGACUCAGGUUUUAGAGGUGGUCGUCAAAGCCGUGGUGGUAGAGGUGGUCAUGGUGGUGGUCAUCCCUGAUGCACCCACUGCAAUCGUCAUGGACACAUCCAGGACAUCUGUUACACUUUUCAUAGAUUUUCAUAGCGGACUGCACAUAAUGUAUAGACUCAGUCAGCAGAGGAUAACUCGGCAGUAUCUGCCCUGGCUUCUGACAGCGUUACGAUCUUUGAAAAGGAGUAUAUACAAUUUCUUCAGUUCCAGACAUUACAGCAAGCUUCCUCAUCCAUCACUGCUCUAGCACAACAUGGUAAUCCGACUACCUGUCUUAGUCACUCAUCAGGUAACUUUGUUUCUUGGAUUUUUGAUUCUAGUGCCUCUAAUCACAUGUCUGGGCACAAACAUAAUUUUGCCCAUAUUAUUGAGUCACAAACCUUACCACAUGUUACUUUGGCUAAUGGGUCCACUACAUUUAAGGGUAGGAGAACUGUUUCCUUUUGUUCUAAUUUGUCCUUGUCUUUUGUUUAUAUAUUCUCGAUUUUCUUGUUAAUUUAAUAUCCAUUAGUCAAUUAACUAAAUAAUUGCAUUGCUCAGUUAUCUUUUCUUCUGAUUCUGUAGUGGUGCAGGACUUAAAGACAAAGAGGAUGAUUGGUUUCGAUUUUGAGUCUCGUGGUUUGUAUCGACUGUCUGAACCAUCAGUGUGUGUAGUUGCUGCUACGUCUCUUCAAAUUCACAGCCACUUGAUCAUCCUCAUCUCUAGAAUCUUCAAAAGAUGGUGUCUAGUAUGUCGGGUGUCCGCGAGUUAAAUUGUGAGUCAUGUUAGUUAGGAAAGCAGAGUUGUAGUCUUUUUUCUAGUCGGUCAAAUAAACAUGCUUCAGCACCCUUUAGUCUUAUUCAUUCUGAUAUUUGGAGAUUCAGUAAAAUUAUUUCUUCUAUGAAAUUUAACUAUUUUGUCACUUUUAUUGAUGAUUAUUUUCGCAUGACUUAGGUGUAUUUAUUACGUAAUCAUUCUGAAUUAUUUUCAGUUUUUACUGUAUUUUAUGCUGAAAUUAAAAAUCAGUUUCAUACAUCCAUUAAAAUUUUUCGAAGUGAUAAUGCCCGUGAGUACUUAUCUACUAAUUUUCAAAACUUUAUGAUUACUCAUGAGAUUCUUCAUAGACAUCUUGUGCUUAUACGCCUCAACAAAAUGGAGUAGCAAAGUGCAAGAAUCGUCAUCUUGUUUACACAAUACGGACACUUCUCAUAUAUGUGCAUGUGCCUGUUCAUUUUUGGGAUGUCACUGUCCUUACUGCAUGUUAUCUCAUAAAUCAUAUGUCCUCAUCCGUGUUGCAUGAUCAAAUUCCCUUUUUGAUUUUAUUUCCUAGAGAUUCCCUAUAUGUCUUACCUCCUAGAGUCUUUGGAUGCACCUGUUUUGUCCAUUAGUCUGGUCCUAGUCAUGAUAAGUUGUCCUCGAAAUCCUUAAAAUAUGUCUUUCUCAAAUAUUUUCGAUCCCAAAAGAACUAUAGGUGCUACUCUCCUGUUCUUCAUCGUGUCUUUAUAUCGUCUGACGUUACGUUCUUUGAGUCUAUUCCUUAUUUUUCUCCUAGAUCUAAAUCUAUUGUCUCUCAUGAGGAGUCUAUAUUUAUUGGGCUGUCUGUAUCUCUUCCCUUUGGUGACACAUCCUCGUCAUCUGUGCCCAUUCCUCUAUCUCUAUUUAGAUUUGAUCGACUGAAUUUUCAGACAUAUCAACGUCAUGCAUCAUCUGGGCUCCCUUCUGUUGAGCCCAUGGAUUCAACAUCAGCACCAGUCGCUUCUCUGCCAGAUAGUCCUACUACACCAGCCCCUUCUGACCUGGAUGUUUCUAUUACUCUGCAUAAAGGUAAUUGAACAAAACAUCUCAUUGAUCGUUUUGUUAGUUAUCUAUCUUUAUCUCCCAGAUAUUCUGUUUUUAUUUCUUUGCUUGCUUCGGUCUCUAUUCCUCAUACUAUCACAGAGGCACUUGCUUAUUUCGACUGGAAGUAGAUGAUGGAUAAUGAGAUGUCUGCACUGCGUGCUUUGGAUUCUUGGGACCUUGUUCUGCUUCCUCCAAAUAAGUCUAUUGUUGGUUGUCGCUGGGUUCAUACUAUUAAGUGUUCUCUUGAUGGGCAGGUUGAUAGAUUGAAGGCUCAGCUGGUUGCAAAAGAUUUCACUCAGGUGUUUGGCCAAGAUUAUCUUGAUACAUUCUCACCUGCGGCUAAACUCAUAUCUGUUCGUCUUCUCCUAAGCUUAACUGCUAUCUUUCACUGGCCUUUUCAUCAACUGGAUAUUAAGAAUGCAUUUCUGCAUAGUGAUCUUCACGAGGAGGUUUAUAUGGAGCAACCUACUGGGUGUGUUGCUCAAGGGGAGUAUGUAUGUCGGUUGAAGAAGUAAUUAUAUGGCUUGAAGCAAUCUCCUCAGACCUGGUUUAGGAAGUUCAGCUCUGUUAUUUUUCAGUUCGGCCUUCUUAGAAGUACUUCUGAUCAUUCGAUUUUGUAUAGGUAUUCCGAGUUAGGCAAGCGCAUUCUUUUGAUUGUCUAUGUAGAUGACAUGGUUAUUACUGGUGAUGAUAGUGAUGGCAUUACUGCUCUGAAGAGUUAUUUACAUCAGCAAUUUCAGACCAAAGAUCUGGAAGAGUUACGAUACUUUCUUGGUAUUGAGAUUGUUUGGUCUCAUCGGGGUAUAGUUGUGAAUCAGAGAAAGUAUGUCCUUGACAUGUUGGAGGAGACAGGUAUAUUAGGGUCUCGUCUUGUUGAUACUUCUAUGGAUCCUAAUGUACGACUUGUUCCUGAUCAGGGAGAACCUUUGUCAGAUCCUGAAAGAUAUCGGAGAUUAGUUGGAAAACUGAAUUAUCUUACAGUCACCAGGUCAGAUAUAUCUUUUGCUGUUAGUGUCGCCAGCUAGUUUUUUGACUCUCCUACUGUUUGUCAUUAGGAGGUUGUUAUUCGCAUUCUUAGAUAUCUAAAGAGUGCAUCAGGCAAAGGGUUAUUUUAUCAGGAUCGUGGUCAUAGCCAGGUAGUUGGCUAUUAAUGCAUGUCAUAGCAAAUCAAAAUUAACCCUACUCACUACUAUGUAGAUAGGAUGAGUCGGAAUCGUAUCCAUAGAGAUCUUAGAUCGAUUAUUUCAAAAAUAUAAACGAAAAAAAUAAUAGAUUGCAAGAAACUAAGAAUGAAACAUAGAGAUUGCAAUAAAAAUAUUUUUUAUUGAUCAAAUAAAAAAACAUACAUAAUGAAAAAAAUAAAAGUGCAAUAUAAAACAACUAAAUCAAGUUGAACUUCUCAUUAUGCCCGAUGGUGGAUGUGCCUCCUUGAAUCUUUCGUCUUCCUUCGUGCAGACAGCGGUAGGAUGACGGGAAGGUUUGGUUUAGGAACUCCAAGGAAGAAAAAUAGAUAGAAGAGGGUAUGAGAAUAUGAAAAGGAUAGCAACACUAGGAUUAGGAUCUCUCCUAGAUUUGAUGGAAGACGUGCUAGGAUUAGGAUCUCCUCUAGACUUUUUAGGAUGUGGAGAAUAGAUUUAUGAAAGAAUAUGGUGUCGUGCUAGGGUUAGUACCUCCCUUAGACUUAUGGAGAAGAGAAAAAGAGAGAUGGGGGCAGCAGCUUGGAGAGAAACUUAGACGUUGGCUUGAUGGAAAGAGAGAAAGGGAAGAGCUUUGAUGGAGGAGAGGAGGAAGAGAGAUUGAAGAAGAUGAAGAACCCCAUAAGGGAGCUGAUGGAUUGAGAAAGAAGGGUUGGGAUGUAUUUAUAGAGAGGAGACUAGAGUUUCAUGAAAAGAGAGGUGGGAGCAUGAAUAAGGACCCUUGGACCUUCAUAUUGCUUCUCCUCAGUUGAUCAAUAAGUCGCAUUCACACUUGGAUCUUCAUGAAGAGUGAUCUUUUAAUCUGAGCCCUUGAGAUUUAAGUCAUGUUUAUACUUGGUUCCAUCUAUCUUCUAAUCUAGAUCCUUGAUUGGAGAGGUUACUUCUUGACUCUUGAUCUUUAAGUCGCAUUCACACUUGAGUAGGAGCUGAUUGCCUGAUUCACUCAAUUUUGAUCCGAUUUGAGUCCAAUUUGAAUCGUAUGAAUCCAAACUCCUAAUUACCUGCAAAAUAGAUUAGAGAGCAUCAAAAUUCAAUAAAAUAACAUCAAUUAUCAUAAUAUUUAAUAUUUUUAGUGACUUAAAUUAAGUAUUCAUCACACCCUCCAACUUAAAAUUUAUUCAUCCUUAAGUAAAAUAGAUACAUUAGCAUUGUGUACCAAAUUAUCCUUGAAUUGAAAGUUAUCCUAAGCAUUUCUAACUAUAGUGGAUACUGGCUAGACCAUUAAAGAGGUACUUCAUUGGAUUACUAAUUUAACUUAAUUGGUGGUUGAGUAUUAGUCAUAAAAAUUUUAGAGAUCUUUCACCAACUCUCCACUAUACUCUUUAAGUCCUCUAACUUCUUGAUGUGAGCAGAAUUUAUUGUCUUCUUACAAUUUAGUCCCUUAUUGUCUAUUAUUUUAUUUUAUUUUAUUUUUUUUUCAAAAAGAGUCUAGUGCAAUAUCUUAGCCUCUUGAGCCUUCUAACUGAUCCUUGUAGCAAGCUUUCAGCCAAUGACUCUCAAACCAGUUAGCUUUAGGGCAUUAGGUGUAGAACACCCCUCAGACUUACUGACUCGAGUCCAAAAAAAACUAUGAGGUGAGACAGACUCUAUAAUAGUCUUUUAGCAUCCCCACCUUUUAACGCGAACCACAAUGCUGAGGCGAAGGGGUCCAAUUACUCAGUGAGAUAAUGCUAAAUCAUUUUUUUUGUAAUAAAAAAUUUUUUUGCAUACCUUGACCUUUCCACCCAUACCCCCAUGAAGCAGAUUCUUCAUUGAGAUGGUGGGAAGAGGGUUUUAAAAAUAUUCCAAAAUUUGGUCUGAUCUAAGCACUAUCAUUCAUUGGAUUUUCUCAAUAAUUUGCCCCUCAGUGUCUCUAAAAUUAUCUAGACCGUUAAUCACUCAUUAAUUAGGAUGCCUGAUUAACUUUAAAUCGAGAUAAAAUUUGGAUACACAAAGCUAAUUAUUUUUUAUCAUACUUGAGAACUCAAUUAAAUUAGUUUUUCUCUCCCUCAACUUAAUUUCUAUUGUCCCUAAUGUAAGAAGAGAAUCAUAAUAAAAUAUGAUAAAGAUACCACCUGAGUUUAAUAUGCGCAAUCAUUGUCAAGAGAUCCUUCAUUGUUGGGUGUGGUGUAUUUUUGAUUUCAACUGGUGUGAACGUGACUCUUCUCUUAACUUCGCUAGUAGCAUCACUUAUCCACUCCACUAUGGAGAUUCAACUUUGCUAAUUGUCUUUCUAGAGAUUUUUAAAAAUGAAAAGAAACUAAAAAUAUUGCAUAAGCUGGGUUGCCUCCCAACAAGUGCUAAGUUUAACGUCUUCAGCCAGACGCUAUGAGAGAGUCCCACCUAUAAUCAACUUGGGUAUGUUCCUCAAGGUUUCAAAAAGACAAGACCAAUCAGGAGGCCUCGUUAUCAUAGUCAAAAAAUAUUCGUGGAAUGUUCUACAACGAUUAGCCCAGAUCAAUAGAAUGUACUGGACAAGCGCGCAAUACAGGGACUAACAAUAUUCUCAUAAUUUUUCUGAUGACUAGAAAGGGAUUGUGUUUGUUGAAUCGAGAUUAGGGUUGGUAGUUAAGAGUUUCUUUAAUUAUAACCUGAUCUACUCUAAUCCCUAUCUCGGGUAUGAUUUGUUUCGACAUCAUCUCUUCCCAAUCUAUAGCAUGGUAUUUUUUUUAAAAUUAAUACUAAAUUAAUCUCCGGCAAUGACGUCAAAAUUUGAUGCAUAUCGUAGCACAUUAAAAUUAACCCUACUCACUACUAUGUAAAUAGGGUGAGUCGGAAUCGUAUCCACGGGAUCUUAAAUCGAUUAUUUCGAAAAUAUAAACGAAAAAAUAAUAAAUUACAAGAAACUAAGAAUGAAACAUGGAGAUUACAAUAAAAAUAUUUUUUAUUGAUCAAAUAAAGAAGCAUACAUAAUAAAAAAAAUAAAAGUUUGAUACAAGACAACUAAACCAAGUUAAACUUUUCGCUAUGCCCGAUGGUGGAUGCCUCUCCUUGAAUCCUUCGUAUUCCUCUAUGUAGACAGCGACAGGAUGGCUGGAAGGCUUAGUCUAGGAACUCCAAGGAAGGAAGGUAGAUAGAAGAGGGUAUGGAAAUAUGGAAAGGAUAGUGGUAUUAGGAUUAGGAUCUCUCUUAGAUUUGAUGGAAGGCAUGCUAGGGUUAGACCUCCCCUAGACUUGUUGAAAUGUGGAGAAUGGAUCUAUGGAAUAAUAUGGUGUCGUGCUAGGGUUAGUACCUCUCCUAAAUUUAUAAGGAAGAAAGAAAGAGAGAUGGGGGCAGCAGCUUGGAGAGAAACUUAGGCAUUGGCUUGAUGGAAAGAGAGAAAGGGAAGAGCUUUGAUAGAGGAGAGAAAGAGAAAGAGAGGGGAGAAGAUGAAGAACCCCACAAGGGGGCUGAUGGAUUGAGAAAGGAGGGUUGGGGUGUAUUUAUAGAGAGAAGGCUAGGGUUUCAUGAAAAGAGAGGUGAGAGCAUGAAUAAGGAUCCUUGGAUCUUCAUGAAUAAGGAUCCGUUGAUCAAUAAGUCGCAUUCAUACUUAGAUCUUCAUGAAGAGUGAUCUUUUAAUCUAAGCCCUUGAGAUUUAAGUCAUGUUCACACUUAGUUUCAUUUAUUUUCUAAUCUGAGCUCUUGAUUGGAGAGGUUGCUUCUUGACCCUUAAUCUUUAAGUCACAUUCAUACUGGAAUGGGAGCUAGUUGCCAGGUUCACUCAAAUCUGAUCCAAUUUGAGUCUAAUUUAAAUCGUAUGAACUCAAACUCCCAAUUAUCUACAAAAUAAAUUAGAGAGUAUCAAAUUCUUAAUAAAUAAAAUGCAAUUAAAUAGAAUUAUGUGGCUUUAGUGACUUAAUUCAAAUGUUCAUCACACCCCUCGACUUGAACUUUACUCGUCCUCAAGUAAAAUAGAUAUAUUAGCAUUAUGCAUCAAAUUAUCCUGGAAUCGAAAGUUAUUCUAGGCAUUCCUAACGGUAGCUGAUACCCAGCUAGAUCAUUAAAGAGAAACUUCAUUGGAUUAUCAAUUUGACCCAAUUAGUGGUUAAGUAUUAGCCAUAGAAAUUUUUAGAGAUCUUCUUUCACCAACUUCCCACUCUAUUUUUUAAGUCCUUUAACUUAUUGUGAGUUUGGUGUGGUGUCUUUUUGUAGUUUAUUUUCCUUAUUCUCUUUUUUUUUUGAAAGAAUAUUUUCAUGUACAGUCGGUGCAAUGUCCUAACCCCUUAAGUUUUUUAAUUGACUCUUGCAGCGAGCUUUAGGCUAACGAUUUUCAAACCAGUUGGUUUUAGGAUAUUAGGUAUCAAACAUUCCUCAGACUUACUGACUUGAGUCAAAAAGGCUACGAGUUAAGACUGACUCUACAAGACGUUUCUUCACAUUCUCAUCUUUUGACGCGAACAACAACGCUUACUUAGGUGAAGAGGUCCAGUUACUUAGUGAGAAAUGCUAAAAACCUAUUUUAUUAAGGCAAACUUUUUGCAUACUGACAUUUACACCCUUACCCCCAUGAAGCAGAUUCUUCAUCAAGAUAGACAAGAAGAGGGUUCUAGAAUUACUCCAAAAUUCAUUUUGGUCUAAAUCCUAUUAUUUAUUGUGUUCUUAAUAAUUUCCUCCACAAUAUCUCUAAAAUUAUCUAGACCAUCAAUUACUUAUUGAUUAGGAUGUUUGAUUAACUCCAAAUCGAGAUAAAAUUUAGGUACACAGCUAAUUAUUUCUGACCAUACUCGAGGACUUAAUUAAAUUAGUUAUCCUCCCUCUCCAACAUAAUUUUCAUUAUCCCCAAUGGAAGAAGAGAAUUAUAACAUAACAGGAAAGGAUACACCUGAGUUCAAUAUAUGCAUUCAUUGUUGAAAGAUCCUUCAUUAUUGGGUGUGGUGUGUUCUUGAUUUCAGUUGGUAUGAACGUGGCUCUUCCCUCAACUUGGCUAGUAGCAUGGUUCGUCGUACCGGGCCGAACCGCCCGGUACGGGGUGUACCGAGCUGGACCAGUCCCUUACUGGUCCGGUUCGGGCCUGUUUUUCGGAAAAGGACCCGGAACCGCAUCGAAUCGAGCGGUUCGGUGCAGUUCGGGCCCAUAUCGCCCGGAACCGAGCGGUACGGCUCGGUUCUGGAGCGAUUUGGGGUGAACCGAACCGUACCGCCCAUGAAAAAGGGGGGGAGGGGGGAAGGUGGCUCAAUUUGAUGAGGAUCUUGUGUUAUUUUCUUGGUAUCUGAAAUAAAAUGAAACCUCAAGCAUAUCUCUCUCUCUAUCAUAUCUGUUAUACCAUCUGUCUUGUAGUAUCCGAUAUGAUGUAUUAUAUCAUAUUGAUAUGUUAUUUCAUAUUAUACCAAUAUUUGGUAUGUUGUUUUGUACCAAAUUGAAAUAUAUAUCGGUAUUAUAAUAGAAUGGUGUCAGUAUAAGAUCCGGUACCGAGAUUGUAAAGCUUGUACUAUGUAUUAGUUCAUCGAAAUCCAACUCGUAAGAUGAAUUUGAUUUGGUUUUUCAUCACCAAACAGAUGGAAAUGCCUAGGGAAGCAUUUUGAGAACUUGAGAGGAAUCUGAAAGAAAAUUUUGAACCUCUGAUAGCUAGUAAUGGACGUUUUCCGCCCCAACAAUUACUAAGCAUUUACCAUUACCCUUCUCCCUGUUUGGUACCAUGACUCCUUGCUCAUUUAACCCUGUGCAUUCGUACCGUUUUAAGUAUUCGUUUCUACAACAAUUAAUCGCAGUUGUAACAGAUAGUUCAGAGGCCUCAACAAGAUUUUAAAAUAAAAAUCUCAGUAUUAUAAUCACACAACAUUCAGCAUUUAUGAUUAAAAAAGAAACAUGGGCAAUAUCUAAUAUUCCAAUUAGUAACUCAAAAUGGCAUCAUAAAAUUGAAUAAUAUCUGGUUGUAUCAAUAUCAUAAAUCUUGUGAUGCUAGUAGUGGUAUAUAUGUCUCAGAGUUAAUGAAGAAAUUCUUAUGGUGGAAUCAUAAAAUUGAAUAACUUCUGGUUGCAUAAUGUUGUGAUGCUGGAAGCUUAAACUGUUAUAUGCGAUAUCAUAUAGGAUCACAAUUAGAGCAAGGCUUUUCAUAAAUAAGUCAAAUAGGAGAGAGUUCAGGUGUUUUACCACCUUAAUUUUAAUCAAGUUAAAUGGUUGAGGGCUUUAUGAUGUGUUCUAAAUCUUCCAAACCCAUUUUCUUCUGCAUAAAACUGAUUCGAUUGUAACAUAUGGCUAUUAAGAGUCUUUGUACCGUAAUCUAANNNNNNNNNNNNNNNNNNNNUAAAAAUCGAAGAAAAUAGUGUACCGGUACCGAACCGGUAUGCCCAAACAUACUGUGUGUCGGUACGGUACCGGUACGGUACCAUACCGAUUCGAGACCGACACGCCGUCCGGUACCGGUACAGCGAACCUUGGCUAGUAGCAUCACUCAUCCACUCUACUAUAAAGAUUCAACUUGGCUAAUUAAUUUUUUAGAAAUUUUUACAAAAUAAAAAAAACUAAAAAUAUUGCAUAAGCUGGGUUGCCUCCCAACAAGUGCCAAGUUUAACAUCUUCAGUCGGAUGCUGUGAGGGAGUCCCACCUAUAACCAACUUGGGUAUGUCCCUCAAUAUUUCAAAAGGAUAAGACCAAUCAGGAAGCCUUAUCAUCAUAGCCAAAAAAUAUUCAUGAAAUGCUCUACAACGAUUAGCCCAGACCAAUAGAAUGUACUGGGCAAGCACGCAAUAUCAGGGACUAACAAUAUUGUCAUAAUUUUUUUAAUGAUCAGAAAGAGAUUGUGUUUGUUGAACUGAGAUUAAGGUUGGUAGUUUAAGAGAUUCUUUAAUUAUAACCUGAUCUACUCUAAUCUCUGUCUCGGAUAUGGCAUGUUUCGACAUCAUCUCUUCCCAAUCUAUAGCAUGGUAUUUUUUCAAAUUAACACUAAAUCUAUCUCCAUACAUCGUUUUAACAUCAUAGAAAGAUUUUGGAGACAGUCCUCAAAAGUAGUGCCAAAAAUAAAUAAAUUAAUCAUAAAAAUCUCAAUAUCAUUAUCCCUCAUGUCAGAGAUAUCCCACCCAACAGCUUCUUUAUGUGCUUUUAGAAUACCUACAAGUUGGGCUUCCUGAUUAGGGAUCACUAGAAGGGUGUCAGUGGGUGCGUCAGGAAGUGGCUUCAGCUCUAGAGCAGGUGGUGAUUUUAAUAAGAGAGCUAUUAGGGAGUUAGGUGAUGGUUCAUAUUUUUCGAUCUAAAAUAAGAUGGUUUUAAGAUAGGGCGCAUCGACUAGAUCAUUUAUUUUUGUGAUAUAUCCAUCGAUAUCAAAAUCAUCCACCUCGAAGUGAGCUAAAUAGGGAUCUAAAGAAUCCUAGAGAAAAAUUAUGGGUGUAACUUCCUCUAUUAUGUUAUUCAUUUAUGGUCCUUAAGAAGUCUCAAUUAAUUUUAUUUCAUCAAAAAUUCCUCCUUUUCUAUUAUAAGGAAUGGAUGAUUUUAGGACACUUAAGAAUGGGAUCAUAGGUAGGUAAGGUGAUGAUGGAAUUUGUUCAUUCCACCAUUUGAAUUUUUCUCUAAAUAUUUUUACCUUAGUCGAAUUAUCUAUGCUGGUCAUUUUGGUUGUGCGGGAUUGUUUUAUUAUCAGUUCAUUUUCGAGAGUCAUAAUCGAUUGUUCAGAAAAAAUUACAGGGACAUUAAAAUUUCUAGCCAGGUAUUGUCCCUCUGGAUUUCUCUCAAACUGACUAAACAGCUCUCUUUCCUCUUCCUUACUGAUUGUAAUUACUGAUUGAUCGACUUGAAUUUCUAUUUUGACUAAGGAUUGUGUAAAGGAGUGAAGAAGCUGAUUGGUGCUUUCAAUCCUAUAUAGUGCUUGCAAAACUUUUUCUUCAAAUGAUGAGCUAUAGAUAGUUGGAGAAGGUUGAUAUUGCGAAUAAGGCAUAUCGUAAUAGGGUGCUUCUACAAACGUAGAUCGUUGUGUUGUCGGGAUAACCACUGAUUGUGGUUUCUAUAAAAAAUUUGAUUGAACCCCCCAACUUAGAUUGUAGUCGUUAAAGAAUGGGUUAUUUCCUAGUUCGUAGGCUAUUUGGGUUUGAUCUUAAUGAAUUUGCUCAUACCUAAACUCAAAAAAAUUGGUGCACGGCUGGACAUUCAACUUGUGUAGGAAGAAAAGAUGUAGAGAGUGUCUAAUAGCUGGUACAGAUCUAAUGUAUGAGACAGCUCAUCCUUUGUAUUGUUGAAAUCUAUAUUUCUAGCACAGAUCUAAUUUAUCGGAUUGUUCUGAUUAUUUUAAUAUACAAUCAAGGGGUCCAGAUCAAAACAAUCGCUUUCUGAAUUUUUUUUUUUCAGAAAGAGGGAGAGAAGAAGAAGAAAAGAUGGAGAAAGAGAGUUCUAAAGAUGAGAAUCUCAAGAGAGUUCUAGACCUAGAGACGAUAGAUGAGAAGGUUGUUUUAAUUAUUUUUUUUUAUUUUUUAAACAAGUGAUGCAAUCAAAUCAACUCUAUCCUAAGAUUAUCCUAGAUCUAGACAGCUUCUAACUGUCAAAGUCACCUUCGAGCACUCCAAGUAAAAGAUUAGCCACUCAACUGGCCAAGUGUAAGAUUGGUGGGGGUCCUCCCAUUGCUUUCUUUAGACACCAACUAAGUUGGUCAGAUCAGCAAACAAAACUAAUUAAUAAACCACCUUCUUUCGGGACGUAAUCUCUGAACCAUUUUUUUAGACACCAAUUAAACUGACCAAUCUUAACCCGAUCUAAUUCUUAGGAUUCUUUAUCCUAUUGCGCUCGAGAGUCCUUAGGGGCCAACGUCUAAUUAAUUUUAAGUUAGAGGCUUAGAUCAAUGCAAAUGCAGGAUUGUGAUUUAUUGGCCAAGGAAGGGUGAUCAAAUCUCCACCUUGUUUAAUUGGGUUAAGUGCCUUUAAAGUAUUUUAUGAAAAUAUGCAAUGCAAAAAGAAAAGGUGUCCAAAUAUGUUAAGUAGCUUUUAAGAUUUAAUUAGUUUAUUUAUAUUAGUCAAGUGUUAUGUGGUGUUUUUGUAUUCUUUUUAUUUUAUGUUAUCUUUAAGCAAGAAGGAAUAAGAGGUAAGUUUUAAAUUAGGUUAAUUAGGUAUGAGAAGAUCUAGUGAAUCUAACUAAAUGGAAAGUAAAUAAUGUUAAGAUUAAAAGGCAAGUAGAUAACCUACAAAUAAAGUAACAAAUCAAAUCUAUUUUUAGGACAAUAAAUUAUUUUAAGCUAUGGAAAAUAAUAAAUCACUAGGAAUAAUAAGCAGUAAUAAAUAAGAUAACUACUUAACUAUGCAAUUAAGGUAAUCUUAUAGUUAAGAAUAAAAGGUAACUAUAUAAUCUAAAUAAAAGGCAAGGAGUCUAAUCUAUUUAGAAAAUAGAAAAUCACUAAUUAUAUAAAGCAGUAAAUUAUUCUAAGCUAUAGAAUGCAGUAAAUCACUAAGCUAUAGAAAGUAAAAAGUUUUUCUAUGCAUGCAAAUAAAGUAAUCUGGCUAAAGGGCAGUAAAUCUAUCAUAUAUGAGAAGCAAUAUAAGAUAGAAAUUUAAAAAAAAAAAAUAGAAGAUAAUUAAGCAAUUAAAGUAAAUUAAUUAACAAUAAAAAGUAAAUUAUCAAUCAGCAAAAUAAAGUAUAAAAAAUAAGAGUGCAAAAGAAGAAAAUAAUCAACUAGAAAAAUAAAGUAGUAAUUUUUUUUUUGAUUUUUUUUUCAAAACAAUUGCGUCAAGAUCUCCGACAACGGUGCUAAAAUUUGAUACGUUGUAGCAUACCAAAAUUAAUUCUACUCACUACUAUGUAGAUAGGAUGAGUCGGAAUCGUAUCUAUAGGGAUCUUAGGCCGAUUAUUUUGAAAAUACAAACAAAAAAAAUAAUAGAUUGUAAGAAACUAAGAAUGAAACAUGGAGAUUGCAAUAAAAAUAUUUUUCAUUGAUCAAAUAAAAAAGCAUACAUAAUGGAAAAGAAACAAAAGUGCGAUACAAGACAACUAAACCAGGUUGAACUUCUCACGAUACCCGAUGGUGGAUGUGCCUCCUUGAAUCCUUCAUCUUCCUUUGUGCAGACAGCGGUAGGAUGACUGGAAGGCUUGGUUUAGGAACUCGAAGGAAGAAAGGUAGAUAGAAGAGGGUAUGGGAAUAUGAAAAGAAUAGCAGCACUAGGCUUAGGACCUCUCUUAGAUUUGAUGGAAGGCAUGCUAGGGUUAGGACAUCUCCUAGACUUCUUAGGAUGUGGAGAAUGGAUCUAUGGAAGAAUAUGGUAUCGUGCUAGGGUUAGUAUCUUCCCUAGACUUAUGGAGAAGAGAAAAAGAGAGAUAGGGGCAGCAGCUUGGAGAGAAACUUAGGCGUUGGCUUGAUGAAAAGAGAGAAAGAGAAGAGCUUUGAUGGAGGAGAGGAGGAAGAGAGAUUGAAGAAGAUGAAGAACCCCACAAGGGGGCUGAGUGAUUGAGAAAGGAGGGCUAGGGUAUAUUUAUAGAGAGGAGGCUAGAGUUUCAUGAAAUGAAAGGUGAGAGCAUAAAUAAAGAUCCUUGGAUCUUCAUAUUGCUUCUCCUCCAUUGAUCAAUAAGUCGCAUUCACACUUGGAUCUUCAUGAAGAGUGAUCUUUUAAUCUGAGCCCUUGAGAUUUAGGUUAUGUUCACACUUAGUUCCAUUUAUCUUCUAAUCUGCGCUUUUGAUUGAAGAGGUUGCUUCUUGACUCUUGAUCUUUAAGUUGCAUUCACACUUGAGUAGGAGCAGGUUGCCUGGUUCACUCAAUUCUGAUCCGAUUUGAGUCCAAUUUGAAUCGUAUGAACUCAAACUCCUAAUUACCUGCAAACUAGACUAGAGAGCAUCAAAACUCAAUAAAAUAACAUCAAUUAUCAUAAUAUUUAAUGUCUCUGGUGAUUUAAAUUAAAUGUUCAUCAGUUAUACAGAUGUAGAUUGGAUAGGAUCUCCUUCAGAUAGAUGAUAUAUCUCUGGGUAUUGUGUCUUUUUUUAUGGUAAUCUUAUCUCGUGGAAGAGCAAGAAGCAGGAAGUUGUUGCUCGUUCCAAUUCUAAGGUGGAAUAUUGUGCUAUGACUUUAACCACAUGUGACCUGGUAUGGUUAAAGUCUCUCUUAGGAGAGCUUGGGGUUAUUCAGUCUGAGCCUAUGAAAUUGUUCUAUGAUAAUCAGGCUGCUCUUCAUAUUGUCUUGAAUCUUGUAUUUUAUGAGCAUACAAAGCACAUUAAGAUAGAUUGUCAUUUUGUUCGAAAAAAGCUACAGUCUGAUAUUAUUUCUACGACUUUUGUGAGCACUAAUAAUUAGCUAGUUGAUAUGUUUACUAAGUCAUUGAGGGGUCCGAGGAUUGAUUAUAUUUGUAACAAGUUGGAGCUCCAUAAUAUUUACGCUCCAGCUUGAGGGGGAGUGUUGGAAUAUUAUUAUAUUUGGAAAGAUAUAUUUGGAAAGCAUGACAAUUUCUCCAUACAAAAUAUAUCAAUUUCUCCAUCAACCGCACUAUCCUUGAUUUUGCAUCAUUUGAAUUUUUUCUUUAUUUAUUUUCCGCAAUCAUGGGAUUGUAUCUUUUCUUUAUUUAUUUUCCAUAAUCACGAGAUUUUGUGUGGAUCUUGGUGUAUUAUAUAUAUUUGCAAACUAUGCAAUAGAUCAACAAGCUUCAUCUUUUUCCCAUUUGACAAGUUUAAAGUUAUAAUUUCAUAUAUUAAUAAACUAUCAGUCAAUUGUGUAAUGCUCCAUCAACAGGUAUUUGACAUCUCUAUUACUAUCUACAGGCAAUAUUAUAUUAAUAAACUAUCAGUCAAUUGUGUAAUGCUCCAUCAACAAGUAUUUAACAUCUCCAUUACUAUCUACAGACAAUAUCUUGUAGUUUUGUGAAGUUUACUAGCUGAAGUCCUAUUUGCAGAAUUUCUCCAUCCUUGUGAGGACUCAUUUUUCUAUUUGCCUUUUCACUGCCGGUGUACUUGUACCAUUUUUUAACUUUUAUGAAAUGAUAAACUCAUUAUGACCUAGAGUAUUUAGAAAACAAUUUAUUGGAUUGGAGUAAGAUCAUUGAUCUAAAAAGGCUGAUAGAGGUGAAAGUAUGUGCAUGGAUCUAUUUUUCUGAGGGUGGAAGUUCUUUGAUGGAAAUUCAAGAGUGGUGCCAUUAAAGAUAAAGCAGUAGAUUGGAAUGCUAUAAAAUCGUGAUAAAUCAGUAGUAACUACAGAUUUAUUAGGCAAGGUUAUUGCUUAUCUUGAUGAUUUGGCAAUUAAAGAAAAUAUCUGACAUCAUUCUUUUCAUCGUAAUCAUCCUGGCAUAUCCCUUUUAACUUGUAUGGUUGCUAUCUUUCAUAUCAAGGGUCUGAUGUAUAAUUUCCAAAUUGGAUUGCUCUUAGCUUAACUAAGAUUAAUAAAAAUGGAUCAGCAACCAAAUUGGUAUUUCUUCCUACAUAGUUCUGUUGGGUUGUUUUUGUUGCUGCAAGGCUUCAAUGGACAGUCGGCGAGGUCGGUGAUGAACCGAACUGAGUUGCUUCUUGGUUGAACAUGACAGAGUUUGCGAUGAUUCCUACAAAGAUAAUCUCAAAACCGGUGAGGUAUCCUCCAGUUUAAGACCCUCCGAUAGUUAAGUCAGAUGAAGCCUUGAGGAUAGGUAGUGGAAACGAGAGAAUAGAAAGAUGAGAAAAGAGAUUGUGGGCAAAAUAGAGAGAAACUCUUGUUCUCUUCAGUGGGGGAGCUGAAAAUAAUUCAGCAGAAUCUUGGUUCUAUCCUUCCAGACUUACCUUCGGAGGAUACCUUGCCCCCUCUAUAUAGAGGAGGUGAAGAGGCCUCAUUUAGAUUGUUAGGCCAUUAGGAAAGUUUGUUACGCCGUUAGUUUGUUGUAAUAGAAUGGCCAGCUGUAUAGAGAUAGUGGGGUGUUUGCCCAUAUGGCAAUUGGCUGUAGUAUAGCUGGAAGACAGUUGGUGCUGAGUUAGAUGACAGCUGAUGCUGAGCAGGAUGACAGCUGUCGAAUGACUAUUUGCAGUUUGGUGGUACAUCGAUAAUCUAUCAACGUGACAUAGCUGAAUUCGGUAACUUACUGAACUGAGUAUCAUAUAUCUCCUUACUAUCAAUAAUCAUAUUGGCUGAAGACCGAUAUAACUCAUCGCAAAUCGGCCAACAAUCGAGGUGAGCAUUAUACUUUAAGAACAAUCCCGAGCAAAUCGGAUCAACCAAAUACCAGAUUGAAGAAGCAGAUCAAAAAAUGAUCGAUAUGACCUGAAAGAGAAUUCAUGACAGAUAAUAAUCCAUUGCCACGUAUCCAGAUGAUGAGGUCAGAUAACAUACACCAACAUAUGGCCCCCACUUUUUAGACCAAAGUGCAGUUUCUCACAUCAGGCAUGAAAAGUCUUUCCAGAAGAUCUCAUUUGACUCGUAUUAUCGUCAUAAAUACUUUGUACCAUUGAUGGUUGAUAAUAUUAAUUUUUUAAUCAUUCGAAGUGACACAUCGUUUCUCGAAAGUGGUCCGUCAGACUUAAUAAUGAUGAGCACUUAGAAAAUUAAAAAUUUAUAAUUAUUUGAGCGGCUAUUCUCUAAUGUGCGCGCGCCAAGUGUCACAAUGCAAUUGGUUGCUUUAGCUAUCACACAGAUCCUGCUUACGUGGUUUAAUCAAGAAGAGGUGCAUCGAAAUGGCUCUCUGUAGGAUCGUUAGAUGGUCGACAAAUGGCAUUAAUCCAAUGGCACAUCAAAUCAAUCUGAGCCGUUGGUAAGCUUUAUAAAUAGGCCUAUAUUUCGUUCAAAAAUCAUUUUACUAUUUUCUUUGAUGUGGAAGUCUUGCCGAAAUUUUUUCGGAACCCCCACAUCACCGGCAUCGAAGAAGAGACUCUCUCUAAAAGCAACUGGAGCCGAAAAAGAAAGAAGCAGAGAGGUUCUUUAAAAGCUUCCUCAGAUCUCUUAUUUCUCAUUAGGUAUUUAUUUUUGGCCUCCGUUCCUUGAAAAUCUGAGGUUUCGGAUUUUUGCAAUCCUCUUUCCUUUUUCUUUGGCAGCUUUUCCUCUCUUUUUUCCCUUUUCGUCCACCUUUGCUCUCUUCUUUUCCUUCAAAGAUGUCUUUCGGUAGUAGCAACAAGAUAAGUCAGGGCAAUUGGGUACCUCGAUCGACCCAACCGGUACUCAAGUUCGAGGUGGAAAGUUCAUCUGACAAUAACUAAGGUUAGUGCCUCAGGUCGAGAUAAUCCUGAAUCUCCUAAGGGAUCUUCUGGGUUAUCUCGGUCCGAGUACUAAACAAUCCAUCCUGAUUGAUCUCGACCUUCAGGAACUUAGGAAAAAAUAUCUAAUUCCUGAAGAAUUCCAACUCAUAGCUCCAGGUGGGAUGGUAGGGUUACCGAACCUCCAGAAGGUUGUGUCACAUUUUAUGAUGAGGCACUUCGGUUUGGGCUUCGAUUUUUCUUACAUCCCUUUUUCAGUAAUGUAUUUGAUUUCUAUAGACUCCGUCUAGCUCAAACCACUUUCAAUGCUAUUAGGAUGAUCAUAGUAUUCAUCAUUUGUUUUAAAUUUUCCACCAUAGACCUUAGGAUUUCUCUCUUUAGGGCAUCGUUCACCUUAAAGAAACAUCCUUAUGAGAAAGGCUGGUGGUACUUUUCACCUUGGCCUAAGUACAAAUUUGGCCUUGCUCUUCCUUCCUCAAUACAUAAUUGGAAAAAUCACUUUUUCUUUAUCUCUUCCAAUGUUCCAUGGGGUUUUAGCUGUAAAUGGUGUAAUCCUGAAAUCAAAUAAAACUCAAAUAAUGAAGUAUUAACAGAGGAUGAGGAGGCUUUUGCAGAGCUUUUAUGUAAAAAAGUACCUAAGUUGAGCUUACUGGUAUCCGACCAAUCCUUAUUUAAUGCCGGCAUCAGUCAGAUUUCUCUCCAGGAUAAGUCCAAUAUUAAUUCUCUUUCUUCGUUGCUUUGUCAUUUUUCAUCAUUUUCCUUCUUUAACAAUUUCUGUCUUUGUUAUAACGGCAAUAAUGAAGUUCAACCCGCAAAGGCUGACUGAGUCGAAGAAGAGGAAGCAGGAUCUACCCAACCAGCCUACCCUCAAGAAGAAAAUAAAGACAUUGCUCCCUCGAGAUCGGCUGCCCCCCCGAUCAUCAUUGGAGAUUAUAUCGAUCAAUACGGAUGCUGCACCGAUCUCCACUCUCCCAUCGACAAAAUCAACUCACCAAACUACCGAGGUGGUUCGUCCACCUUCAAAGGAACCUGCACACCUUAAGUAGGCAACUUCUCCAAUGCCCCCUCCAACGUCGGCCAAGUCAACUCGGCCAGCUGACCAGCGUUCUAAGUCCCAAACUCCCGAUGCCAACCUGCCAUCCUCUUCGUCGGACAAGAUCGACCUGGCGAAGGCAUCAUUACUGGAGACACCAAGAUUAGGCAGAGAUUUGUUCAGCAAGAUGAUGCCUCAGAAGGAUUUGAAUGCUCGGAGGAGGGAUCUCUCCUUGGAUCAACUAAUAAACUAGGGAUUUAAUAGUAUCAUGGAUGUGAGUUUUUACUUUUUUCCAUUCAUUUUUUUUUACAUCAGCUAUUUACUAACCUAACAAUGUCCUUUUCUGUAGUCAACCAUGUAUUUCAAGUUGCUCCAUGAGCACUUGACAUGGUUUUUUGAAAAUAAGAAGUCCCUGGAAGAGGGGCUUAAGGCCGAGAAGGAGGCCGAGAAGGCGACCAAGGAGGCCAAGAAGGUAGCAGAAAAGAAGACUACCAAAAAAAGCGAAACAAUAGAGGGGCUGAAGAAAUAGCUCCAAAAGAAGAUGGAAUCUAUAAAAAAAAAAGAAUAAGCAGCUUCUAGAUAAUCAACGCCAAAUGAAUGAUAAAGACAAUAAGCUGCAGAAACAAACUGACAAAAUCUCGGAGCUGGAGACUAAGCUGAAGGAAGCUGAGGAAACAAUUGAAAAGCGGGAAGCACCCCUUGUUUCAUAUCAGAGACAGCUCGAUAAAGACAAGGAGCGGAUAUCCAGGGUCAUUGAAGACUACAAAAAUUCCGACGCUUUUCAAGAUGAACUCAUCGAAGCUUCAGAAGGAGCCUUCGACUAUGGCUUUUUGAACUGGAGGAGUUUAAUCAUUAAACUCUUUUCUGAUCUUGAUCUUAGCAAGGUCACAAUAGAAGCAGCUCUAGAAGCAGCAGCUGAGGUGACUUUUAGGACUACUGCCGAGCAGCUUCCUCCUACUCCUACCUUCGAAGUUCCUUCGAUCGAAGUCCCGGCCAGUCCAAUCGAAGUUGUCAUUGUUGAAGCCACUCCGAAGGAGGAAGUCAACAAAGAUUCUACCUCAGCUCCUCCGGCAAACAACUCCCAGUCUAAGGCCCGAAUUGUUUCUUCUUCCCCUUUUUUUUAUUAGCCUAAAUAGCUUUCAUAUUAAUGAAAUGAAUUUUCCAAUGUUACUAUAUUCUUUCUCCUUGGAUGACCCGAGUUGGGUUUCGAUGACUUAGAAAAUAUCAUUCACAACAAAGUUAUUUUCUGACUUCGGUCAAAUGAUCAUAAAUAUAUGUGAUCUAAGCUUGAUUAAGUAAGCAACCAAAUAUUAAUCAUUUUCGAACCAAGCAAAUAACUAAGUCAAUGUGAUCUACUAUAAUAAGUUGUCAUCGAAUUGAACCAUAUCAACCAAUCAAGAGAUAAAUUGAUCUCUAAUAACUCACUGUAAAGGUUCUGAAAGUACCUUUAAUUGAGUUCAGAAUGGCAGGUCGGAUUCUUUCAUCUAUGAGUUUGUGACCCGUGCUGCCUUUUUGCAACCUUUGUUAUUAAUCGCUUUGAGCUGAAGCCCAAUUUUGGAGAUGAGGCAUCUCCGAUCAUCUCAUGAAUUCUCAUCUGGAGAUCGGAUGUUCUAUAUCACCUCGCAAGGUCCAAUCUGGAGAUUGGGUAUCUCACGUUGUCUUGUGAGGUCCAAUUCGGAGAUCAGAUGUCUCACGUCAUCUUGUGGGUCCAAUCCAGAGAUCGGGUGUCUCACAUCAGGUUGUUCUAGUUUGGUUGGGAUUCCUAUAACCCUAUUUCGACUUUCUCCCGACCUUGUUUGGACAUCUAGAUCUUUUUUCUCAUGUACUAUAUCGUCUCACUUGAUUGGGUUUUAUCAAUCUGAUUGGGAUGAGGAAAAAUUUUUCAAUGAAACUUUUGAUUAGGAUUUUAUCUUCAUUGAGACAAAUCAAAUAUUUUAUUAAAAAUUUUAUUGAUAGUACAUUCUGAAAUUUUCAGCAUUCCAUAUUCUUGGAAUGACUGUGCCAUUUAGAUUUUCAAUUCGGUAAGCUCUUGGAUAGAUCAUCUUGAUAAUCCGAUAAGGCCCUUCCCAAUUUGGAGCAAGUUUUUCUUGCUCCGUUGGUUUCGAGACUUCAACUCGUCGGAGAACCAAAUCAUCCUUAUAAAAAAUCUUAGGCUUUACCCGAGUGUUGUAAUACUUGGCCACUUCUGCUUAUAAACCGCCAUGCGGAUUUGCACUCUUUCUCGAGUUUCAUCAAGUAAGUCAAGACCAGUUUUCAACCGAUCUGAAUUUUUUUUUUAUGAAAAUUUUCUAUUCUGGUCGUAGGUAGACCGAUCUCAACUAGUAUUAUGGCUUUUGCUCCAAAAGUGAGUUUAAAAGGUAUUUCUCCAGUUGGCCUACAAGGUAUAGUUCUAUAUGCCCAGAGAACAUUAUAAAGUUUUUCUGUCCAGGGUCUUUUAGCCUCAGUGAGCCUUGUCUUCAAGCCCUGAAGGAUGAUUCUAUUAGUGACUUCGGCUUCUUCAUUUGACUGCGGAUGACCAACCGAAAUAAACUUAUGGUCUAUAGAGCUCAGAACAAAAUUUUUUAAACUUUUGAUUAUCAAAUUGCUGCCUAUUAUCAGUAAUUAUGACUCGAGGCAAAUCGAAACGGCAAAUAAUUGAUUUUCAUAUAAAAUCCCUCAUCUUUUUCUCAAUAAUUUGUGCCAGAGAUUCAGUUUCUAUCCAUUUGAUAAAAUAAUCAAUAGCCACAACCAAAAUUUUUUUCAUCCAAUGGCCAUUGGGAAGGAUCCCAGAAUAUCCAUUCUUAAUAUAGCAAAAGGCCAUAGUGCUGUCAUAGAAUUAAGUUCUACUGUAGGCUGGUAUUGAAUGUUAGCAUACCUUUGACACUGAUCGCAUUUAUUAACAAGGUCGGUGAAUCUUUUUGAAUAGUAGGCCAAUAAUAACCUUAUCGGAUUAUUUUAUAAGCUAGAGACCUGCCCUCCAAGUGAUUGUCACAAAUUUUUUCAUGAACUUCUUGAAGGAUGUAAUCGGCUUCCGACAGCCUAGGCAUCAAAGUAGCAGAGAUGAAUAUGACAUCUUAUAUAGUUGAUUGCCUUGAAUGACAUACUAUGGGGCCUAUCUUUUAAUUUUUCUUGCUUCAACCAGAUCAGCUGGCAGAGUCCCUUUAGUAAUAUGCUCCAUCAAUGGAUCAAUCCAGCUUGACUCACGUUCAAUUUGGACAAUCGGCAAAAUCUUAAUACUGGGCUUUUCAAGAACAUCAAUGAGAACACUUUGAUUAAGCUUGAAAAAAACUCGAUGUGGCCAAAUGAGAUAAUGCAUCAGCUCGGAUGUUUUUCGAUCUUGGUAUUUGUAUGAUUUCUAAAUCUUUAAAGUUUUUUAAUAAUUCUUUUAUAUUAUUCAAAUACUGAGAUAUUAUGGAAUCUUUAGCUUCAAAUUGACUUAGUACCUGAUCGACGACAAGUUGAAAAUCAGUAAAAAUUUUAAGUUCUUAACAUUGAGCUCUUUAGCCAUUUCAAGUCCCACAAUGAGUGCCUCAUAUUAUGCUCCAUUGUUUGAUGCAUCAAAAUUAAAUCUCAAGGCACGCUCAGUCACAAUGCCUUCUGGGCUUGUCAGAAUUAAAUCAGCUCCACUUUCUUUAGAAUUUGAGGCUCCAUCAACAUGUAGUACCCAAUAAGAAUUUUUUUUGACAUUCUCCAAGCUCUUCAAGAUUGGUUCUUCAUCAGGGAUAAAGCAUUCGACAAUAAAGUCAGCUAACACUUGAGCUUUUUGAAGAUCGAGGUCGAUAAUAAAUAUCUAAUUCACUUAAUUUAAUGGCCCACUUGGCUAUCUGAUCUGAAGUGUCAAGUUGCUAUAAGACUAAUUUUAGAGGUUGAUCGAUCAGAACUAUAACAGAAUAAGCCUGAAAAUAAGGUUGGAGUCAUCUUGUCGAUAUAAUGAGAGCAUAAAUCAUUUUCUCAGUUUUAGAAUAUUGAGUUUCAGCAUCUCUAAGCAAUUUACUUAUAUAGUAAAUUGGUUUCUAUAUCCCUGCAUCAUCUCGGACUAAAAUUGAACUAACAGCAUUAGCUGAAACAAAUAAAUAUAUGAAUAAUUUCUCACCUUCCACUGGCUUCGAUAAUAAUGGAGCUGUCCCAAGAUACUUCUUGAGAUCGUCGAAGGUAGCUCGGCAUUCAUCCGACAAAUUGAAGUCUUUGAUCUACCUUAAUAUUUUAAAGAAAGGAAGAUAUUUUUCAGCUGACGUGGAGAUAAACUGACUGAGUGAUGCUAUCCAUCCAAUAAGUUGCUGUACUUCUUUGAUGGAGCUCGGAUGCUUCAUUUUAAGUAGAGCUCGGAUUUUCUCAGAAUUAGCUUCAAUUCUCUUUUGAGUUACAAGAAAAUCUAAAAAUUUCUCCGAAGUAGCUCCAAAAGCACAUUUAUUGGGGUUGAGCUUCAUUUGAUAUUUUCGUAGUUUCUCAAAGAUUUCUUCCAGAUCGAUAAUAUACCGGUCUGACUAGGUAUUUUUUACCAACAUAUCAUCAACAUAGACUUUCAUAUUACGAUCAAUUUGUUACUUAAAGAUUAUAUUCACCAAGCAUUGAUAUGUAGCACCGACAUUUAUAAGACUAAAAGGAAUCAUUUUAUAGCAAUACAAAUCUCUUUCGAUGAUGAAGAUCGUACUUUCUUCAUCUUCAGAUGCCAUCCUGAUCUAAUUAUAGCCAGAAAAAAUAUUCAUGAAACUAAGCAAUUUAUGUCCUAAAGUAAGCAUCAACAAGCUGGUCAAUCUUUAGGAAAGAAAAAUUAUCUUUUGAACAAAUUUUAUUGAGAUCGGUAUAAUCAAUACAAAUCCUUCAUUUUUUAUUAGCUUUUUUAACCAUAACAAUAUUUGUGAUCCACUUCGGAUAUUGUGCUUCUCUGAUGAAUUUUGCUUUCAAGAGUUUGUCGACUUCCUCAUCUAUUAUCUUUUGCCUUUCUGGGGCGAAGCUUCUUUUUUUUUGUUGCAUCGAUCUAUGUUUCAAAUCAACAUUUAGCUUAUGCACAAUAACAUCAGCUGAGAUCCCAGGCAUAUUAGAGGUUGACCGAGCAAAGACAUCGGCAUUCAUCCAAAAAAAAGAUAUUAGUUUUUUCUUCAAGUCUAGCUUCAAUAGAGACCCAAUUUGGAUAGUCUUUUCUGGAUCAUCACCCAAAGGAAUAGUAAGAAGUUUCUCAGCUGGUUCUCCUUGAUUUUUGCUGAUAUCAACUUUACUUUCUUGAUCAUGUAUUUCAAUUGGUAGAGCUUUCAUGGGUCUUUUCAUUUUUGUGGCUAUCAAAAAGCACCGCUUAGCAAGCAUCUAGUCUUCCCGUAUUUCUCCGAACCAUAUUUAGUAGGGAAUCAGACUAAUAAAUGAUAAAUGGAGACUACAGCUUUAAGGGUAUUGAGCUCAGAUCGGUCAAGAAUAGUAUUGAAAGCUGAUGGUAUUUUGACAAUCAAAAAAGUGAGUCUCACAGUUGACUGACAAGACUCCAUUCCUACGGUGAUGGGCAGAGUGAUCUCCCAUUCCACAGCCACAAAAUUUUCAGAAAACCCAAUUAGGGGGGUGCUGACCUGUUUUAACUGAUCUGCCAUAUACAUUUUUUGAAAAGCAUCAUAGAACAUGUCAGCAGAGGUUCUAUUAUCCACCAAUAUUCUUUUUACAUCAUAUUUUGCUAUUGUCAUGGAGACGACAACAGCAUCAUUAUGAGGAAUUUGAGUUUAUCUGACAUCAUCAUCAGAAAAUGAAUUUGUGUUAUAUGUGCGCAGAUGCUUUGGGAAGCUCUCGGUUACUUUAGCUGCCCUCUCAGUCCCACCAAGAUUCGAGAUCAUGUUAAUAACUCCAGCCGUAGGUUUAUUGAGAUCAUUUUCAUUAUCGGGCUUCUAUCAUUGGUUAGUAAUUUGAUUUGCCCGAUCUUGAACAUAUUUGCUCAGGUGACCUCGGCAGAUCAGUGCUUCAAUUUCAUCUUUUAACUGCUGACACUCAGUAUCGUGGCCAUAGUUUCGGUGGAAACAUCAAUAUUUUCUCUUAUCUCUCUUUGGUAGUGGGGCCUUCAUGGGAUUAGGAUGGCGUAGAUACCCCUAAUCCUCGAUUUCCAUUAGUAUCUGAGCUCGAGGAGCAAAUAAUGAAGUAUAAAUAUCAAAUCGCCAAGGUGGGCUUUCGGACCUCGAAUUCUUUCGAGGUUGCUCAAAGUUAUUUUGCUGGUUUCUAUGGUCUUCUUCUCAGGGCCGCUUUUUCCCAUCUCUUUUUUUCUUCGCUUGAGGAGUAUGCUCUUUUCUUCUUCUUCAGCUUGAGUAUACUUUCGAACUCGGAUUAAUAUCUGCUCAUAAUUAUCUAGAUAAUUUUUAUUAAGGGAGAAGAUCAGGCGAUUGCUCCUAAAUCCUUGCUUCAAAACUGCCAUUGCAAUGGACUCAUUGAAGUUCUUUACUUCCAAUGUGGCGGCAUUAAAGCAUGCUGCAUAUUCUCGAAGAGAUACAUCUUUCUGCUGUUUGAUAGUAAAAAGACUAUUAGUAUUCUUCAGAUGAAUCCGAUUAUUACAAAAAUAUGAAAUGAAUAGUUUGGCCAACUACUCGAAAGAUGAAAUAGAUCAUGGCUAGAGGUUGGAGAACCAAAUUCUCAUAGAUUUUUUAAGAGUGAUUGGGAAAGUAAUGUAGAGUAGUGCAUUAGAUGCCCUCUGCAAUCUCAUGAUGACCCUGAAGCCUUCAAGAUAGUCUAAAGGAUCAGUGGAGUCAUCAAAUGAUUCCACCGCAGGCAUCUUGAUCCGGGAAGAAAUCGGUUCAUCAAGAAUUUCUUGAGAAAAAGGGGAUCGCAAGUUGAAAUCGCUUCCACCAUGAGAAUGGCUUCCAAUCUGUGUCUCCAUCAACUUGUUCUCAAGAUCUUGGAUCUUUUGUCCAAGACCUUCUUCCACAUUUAGCUUCUUAUGGGGAGUAAAUUUCACUUCCCAAGAUUGAUCGGUAAGAUCAAGAAAAUGAUCAUGGCGAGGAUCUUGAGGUGCUGGUUGCUGAGAAUGAUGUGAUUGAAUCAUUUGGGGGGUGGCUUCUUGUUGCCUUUCUGUAGUACGCUGGAGUUGUUAUACUGCAGCAGUAAGAGCUUGGACCUGCUAGAUCAAGAGAUUGAAUUGCUGUGGAUCAAUAGUAAUUGAUAGUUGGACAUUUUCUUGACCAUCUCUAGGAAAAGAUGAAGCAGGUAAAGGCUGAUUCGGUGUUUUCUUGUUCACCAUGUCCAUAAGAAAUUUUCAAAGUGCCCUCCUAACGCCAAUCUGUUGCUACAAAGCUUCAGUGGACAGUCGACGAGGUCGGUAAUGAAUCAAACUAAGUUGCUUCUUGGUUGAACCCGAUGAAGUCUGUGAUGAUUCCUGUAAAGACAGUCUCAAAAUCAAUGGGGUGCCCUCCAUUUUAAGACCCUCCGAUGGUUAAGUUAGAUGAAACCUUGAGGACAGAUAGUGGAAAUGAGAGAAUAGAAGGACGAGAAAAGAGAUUGUGGGCAAAAUAGAGAGAAGACUCUUGUUUUUUUCAGUGGGGCUAGCUGAAAGUGAUUCAACAAAGUCUUGACUCUAUCCUUCCAGACUUACCUCCGGAGGAUAUCUUACCCUCCUUUAUAUAGAGAGGGUGAAGAGGUCUCGUUCAGGUUGUCAGGCCGUUAGGAAAAUUUGUUAGGCUGUUAGUUUGUUGUAAUAGAAUAACCAGCUGUAUAGAGAUAGUGGGGUGUUUGCCCAUGUGGCAAUUGGCUGUAGUAUAGCUAGAAGACAGUUGGUGCUGAGUUGGGUGACAGCUGACACUGAGUUGGAUGACAGUUGCCGAAUGACCGUCUGCAGUUUGAUGGCACGUCGAUAAUCUACCGACGUGGCAUAGCUGAAUUCGGUAACUUAUUGAAUUGAGUAUCAUAUAUCUCCGUAGUAUCAAUAACCAUAUCGAUUAAAGACCGACAUAACUCAUCGCAGAUCGGCUAACAACCGAGAUGAACAUUAUACUUUAAGAACAAUCCGGAGCAAAUCGGAUCAACCGAAUACCAGAUUGAAGAAGCAGAUCGAAAAAUGACCGAUGUGACCUGAAAGAGAAUUCAUGACAGAUAAUAAUCCAUCACCAUGUGUCCAAAUGAUGAGGUCGGAUAACAUAUACCAACAGUUUUAAAUAAAUAUCCUAAUUUUAUAGGAAAUAAUCCAACAAGCCAAUAAAUUAAAAAGCAAAGAACCUGAUAGCUUUUUAUUUUCUCCUAUACUGUAGAUUUUUAAACUGUAAUUAAGAAGCAUAAAUGUGCACUUACAAAAAUUUAAUUUGUAAUUCUGAGACAUAUAUUGUAUUGACCUAAGUUGAUGCAUAUUUAUAUCAUGAGUUGUUGUUUGUAAGGAAGUUGUGUGGUUAUUCCCUUCUCCUGACCUGAUGAAGGAUAAAUGUUUCAUAGAAUAAAUACGGAUGCUUGCACAUUCAGAUAUAUAUUAUGUCAGCCAAAUCAGAUCCUCUCGAUCUGGAGAAUUCAACAGUCUAUAAGUAUCCAUCACCAAUACCCUCACUGAUAUCCAGACAGUAUGGUUUUAGUAAUAGAAUCUAAGGAGAAUAGGACUAACCCUAAAUUUUUCCAAUACAAUACAGAGCACAUCCACUGACACAUGUCACAUGUAUUUUGAGAGAAUUCAUAGUUUACAUGUCAAGAUCUGUUCUUAGAAGGAAGUGAUUCAUACUUAAGAGUAGAAACUUUAUUGGAACAUUUUAUUUUCUGAAAGCCACUGCAAUACUAAAGCUGUUGAUGCUUCAGUUUUCAGUUGGUUCUCGAUGCAUUUGCUCAUCACCCAUUGACAAGCUUGCCAUACUAGAGACGAGGGAGUAACAUAACGUUUAGGUUGUACCUAUUCUUGAACUCAAGCUCAGUUGCUUCUUGGAAGCAUAGUAUUUCACCAAGUGUUAAUAUGAAAGAGUUGCAGGUUCUGGUCGAUGCUUUAUUUCCUAUUUGAGUAGAUAGAGAAGCUUUGGAAGAAUUUUAUUUACAAGAAUCUGGUAUCCUUUCUCUGUAGGAUGAUCGGGAUCCCAAAACAAAUACUUAGUGGCAUCUGGGCAUGUUAAUUGACUCAAAUUGUUGGGCAGAAUGGUGCCUACAAUUUUCCCUGGAUCAAAGCACCCCUUUGUUACUUCCUCAAAUCCUGAAAAAAAAAAUCACAACUUCAAGGAAGAUGUAAUAAGUGUGAUUUUCUCAAUUAAUAAUCAUUGAUGAUGCCAAUGAAGACCAUUCAUCAUCUGAAGAAUAUAAACUACUGCAGAGAGCAUCUUCUCGGUGGAACCUAUUGAUCACCUUGUCAACUACAAUAUGCUGCCUCCCAAAAGGUGACCCUUGAAUGUUAAGCGAGGCCCCAUUUGGUAGCUUGGUCAAUAGUACAGAAUAAGCUUCUUUGCUAAAUAGAUACAAAGGAUAAACGUGAUUAGUACAUUUACAUACCGUAGUCAUAAGGAUGCAUAAUAAGUUCAAGCAAUGGAUUAUAGACAUCAAUGUAGACAAUCUUGGCCCCUGGAUGGUAGGUGGCUAGCCUUUCCACUUCCAUGGAUAGCUCACUAUUGAACUUGAUGGAAGCUUGGUUAUAGGCAUCCACACAAUCCCUGGCAAUUCCUCCUCUUAGAGUUCUUUGUGCAGGCAGACAACCUAUAGGAGGAACACCCACCACACCAAUCUUACGAGGUCCCAAAUUGUACAGUUCCUGCCAAUGAGAAGAAUUUCUCAGUCCAAAAUGAUGAAGCUGUCUUAUGUUUUAUGUGCUUUCGUUCCUUGUGUUGAUGUGAUUCAUAGAAUCAAGGAAUCAUCUAUGAGUGCUACUGUAUACUAGAUGGUCACUGUAACCUAUGUAUCCACUGGGGAGUGUAGAUGUACCUUUAGAAAGCUUGAUGCUGCUUGAAGCACGAAAUUGAUGUAUGAAGGGAGAUCAUAGCUCAGAGCUCUGAUAGAGCUAGUGAAAUAUGUGUUCAUUAAAUCAUCGGUCCCAGCAAAUAUAAUGCAUACACCUUCUGCGACUAUAUCAACUGCUCUAUCUUCACCGACAAUGGCUUGUAACUCUCUCUUGUAUUCUUCGAACAUCUCUAGCUGAUCCCACAAUGAGAAAACUGACUGAAAGUGGCAAAAGGAACAUGAAAAUAUCAUUUUGGCUUCUACAAAUCAUGACAAACUCAUCCAAUUGCGAUGGCUAUUGAUCAUAAAACAAUUGCUCCUAUAAAACAAUAUAUGAAUAUAAGAAUAACCAAUUCAAACUCUACAGCAGAAGCUAUUCAAAUUAACUCUAGGAUCAAGCAAAAGUGAACCAUUUGGACUGCAGUUUAGUGUAAUGCAAGAAAAUAGAAAAGCUAGUUGUCUAGCCCUUUCUUCAGUUGUUCCUUCAUUGACCAAACAAACAAUUUUAGAAUUCCAAGUUAUUCAGGCAUGGUCUUCUUCUUCUUCUUCUCUUUCCUCCCCUAAUUUUGCACGAGAAGGUUGUUCUUAUUAAGUAUCUUUUUCUUUGAUUUGAAAUCACAAUUUCAUUUUGUGUUUAUCUGGUUUGUUUCAUUACUUUGCAAUUUUUUCUUGAUCUUUACAAGAUAAUUAUUGAUCUUAGAAAUGACUAGGGUUUUAAAAUUUUUUGGAAGUCCAAGCAGAAAAUAUGGAAAAGCAAUCAGCACUGACCUGCACUCAAGAACCAAGUGACUUGAAAGGAUGGGUGAAUGUAGAUGUUUUGGUUUUAAGGAAAGCUAAUUCUUUAAAUGGCACACCUUCAAGUGGUAAGUUCUAUAAAGUCAGUGCACUAAAGUACUUUUUAUAAGUCAAUGGAAGAAAAGGAAGUGCUUUUAUUAGAAGUGGAAUAAAUAAAGUAUGAGGCUAACAAAGUUAAAAAAUUUAUACCAGUAAUUCAGCGGUAAGGUUAUCAUAUCCUGCACCACCAGAAGCAAAGCUUACACCAGUGAGCAGGUCUUGUUCCUUUACGUCUGGGUCAAGAUACGCCGGCAAAAGCUCCUUUACUCCCAGCAGAGAUGCUGAUUUGAUUAAAUGACAGGAAGGAACGAUGCAUGAUCAAAUUCUCAGAUAGAUUCUAAAUUUUAGACAGUCAGUACAUGGAGAAACUAUGAAUAUAUUCUUUGUUGGGUUAUAAAAUAUGUAUUGUUAUUGCUUUACCAAUGAAGUCCGUGGGGAUCUUUCCAUUGCUGAACCUUCCUGUUGCUCUGUGUCCUAUGAAGUCCCUUCCAUAUGGAGGGAAGUUGCUCUUGGCAAUUGUCAGGAGCAUGUUGUUGUUGCCUGGGUCGUCAAUGGAGUCUCCAAAUGCAAAGACUGCCGGCACUCGAACUGCUGUCUGGUCUGGGACCAGUGCUUGGGAUUGGAUUAUUGGUAGUGUGACGAAGAGAAAGCAAAUGACAGAAUACAUUCCCAUUAGAAAGCUGAGCUGCUUUUCUGUGCUUGUUUUCUUAUUGCAGAACAUAUUCAUGCAUUAUAUAGUGAAACAAAAGAGACAACCCAACUAACACAGCAUGUUGCCAUUUACUCUCUUGUCAAGUUUUGUAUUAGAGAUCUGCUCUACUCUGCAGUUAGUUUUUGUAUUAGAGACCUUGGUCCAAUGAGGAUUACACUGCUUGGGUUGUAGGGAAGUGAAACCCUCAACAGAGGCCCUUCUCUUUUUUUUUUUUUUUGGUUAGAAAAGUCGCUGGUCUGCUUGGCCAACCCUUAGCCACAGAAGUCCAGAGAAGCGUUUAAUGGGAGCAUUUAAUUUCCUGAUUGGAUUUGAACAAAGCAGUGAUAUCUCAACCCCCAACAGACUUCCAGUUCCAGUAUUUUUGUGUUAAGCUUAUCCAUAUUGAGUCAUCAUACUACCAAAACAACUUUUGAAUGUAUCUUGAUCGGAAGUGUUAGUACUGCACUAAGGUGGUUAUUUUCUUUAGUAGUAUUUGAAUUUUUGUGCCGUUAGUUUGUUGAGAUGUCAACUUUAAGUGAUGAAACUUUGUGAUAUUUCAUGUAUGGUGCUUCAUAACGGUGGAUUUAAGGCAGCACUGCAUGAACGGUAGUUAUAAAGCAUUACGGUGGAUUUAAGUCAGCACUGGAUGUAUAAAAAGAACCCAGUAAUGGGAAAGUUGUAUGCUAGUCAUUAGUUUUUUAGUAACCCAUUAGUUCAUAGUCAAUUGAGACACACACGCGCGCGCGCGCGCGCGCGCACAAAAAAAAGGAGGAAUAUGAAUAAUGUGCAAUAAGCAAAAAGGAAUCAUUAAAACUGGAGCUGUGGUGGAUGUAGGACAUUAUCAGAUUGGUGGAGCUUAAAAGGAGGUUUUAAAGUAGAGUGCUAGGUAUUUGUAUAGUACGCAAUGAACUUUUUCUUAGAUGGUAGUGUACCCUCAAUUAUAUCCCCACCGCUCAAUUAGUUGGUGCAAUAUUGGAGCAAUUAUUUUUUUGGGAGAACAGGGGAGGCAAAAUAGCCACCCAGAAGUUUAUUAGAGAAGAAAAAAUGGGUAGUGUUAAAGAAGAAGUGUACAGAGACUCAGGUAGUAGAUUAACAGCAAGAAUAGGGCAAUAACCGAAUUCUGUGUCGCAGCAUGGAACUAGAUCAGAUGAUUCAUUUACGCAUCACUUGCUAUUUCUCUUUUCACUUCCUGUCUAAUCUUUUGAUGCAAAUCCAAUUAUCAGAAGAGCAUCUAAUUGUCUGAAUGCUUCAAUAAUUCUUUGUUUCUAGGUUUGCAUGACUGCAAGUGGAUUAUAUACAUUUCUAUCCAGUUCGAGUCUAUCCAGACUAGUCUGUCGCAGACUUUUAUUAAGAAGGAUAUUGCAGCAGCAUGACCUAUUUGCAAAGAUUCAAAGUAUGAAGUUCCCUCCAGCACAUGCAGAGAUGGAGCAAAUUCCUGCUGUCAAUCCAAACUAGAAUUCUUGUCCUGUAGGCUGAUUUUGGGGCCCCAAGCCUACAUCUGAUGCUCAAACUAGAUUUCAUUUUGGCAGAUGUUUCUUUGGUCGGGAAGAUCGGACAUGACACAUGGAGCCUGGUCUCACUACCUGCUAGAUUUGAGACAAAACUAGAUGAAUUCUGGGUUAUGCUAGGCCUGCAUCUUGCAAGAACAUACUUGAAUUGCACUUAUGAGUUGAGUCCCUGUGUUUGUUUAUUUUAUAUUUGAUCAUUUUGCUUCCUCAGUUAAUGUACAUCAGAAGAGAUUUUUCAAUAUUUAUCUGGAUGAGUUUCAUGCUUCCUUCCUGCAUUAGAUCCCGAUGUUGGAAGAUAUACCAUCGAGUAGAAUCAUCAUUUGCUUUG
rnacentral:lncRNA from 1 species